GUUGAAUUCGCAACAAAUCGUUGGGUUUAAAGAUCUGUUAAAUCAUUUUUGUUUUCACAAAAACUUAAGUAUAGUCGGGUUGACCUACACCUAAAAUAAUGUUAUAUGUAUGAUUCAAGUCAAAAUACGAAUUUGGGCAAGUGUGCAAUCCAAUUAUCCCUUUUUUUUGUAUUUUAAUUAAUUUCAUGAGUGAUAUGUAUCUAACUAUACAUAUUAGAUAUUAGAAAUAGAAUAGAGAAAAGACAACAAUAUCAACUUCAUGGCUCUAGCAGAAUGUGGCAUCAUUCACUGGGAGUUAGAGAUAAAUUAGAAACGCAACAAACAAGCUCGUCGAAUUUGGCGAUUUAAGGAAGGUCGAGGAGACAUGUAAAUCAUUGUUGGUAUAUCAAGUUGGCUUAGAAAAUUAAAGAACCCUACUCUCUUCAACAAGUUGUUUUUUUAGAAGACUAUCAAAACUGUUACAAGGUCAUUACUACACGUCAAAUGCUGACAAAUAGUUUGCAUUUACACAGGUGAAACUAAAAUAGGAAAAUCACAGCCCAUUGAAAAUAUAUUGGACUUUUACAUGAAAUCACAAUAGAUAAAAUUCAGAACAAUUAUCAUGACUCAAGAUCUCAUGAGAUCAUUCUCCAAAAGACAAACAUGACAAACUUCAAUGAUAGUUGACUACAAAUUUUGGCAAACAAAAUCAUCAUACACCAAAAGAAAUAGAUAAAAUUCGGAACAAUUAUCAUGGCUCAAGAUCUCAUGAGAUCAAUCUCCAAAAGACAACUUCAAUGAUAGUUGAAUACAAAUUUUGGCAAACAAAAUCAUCAAACACCAAAAGAAAAGAAGUAGAUAAAUCCCCAAAAUUAACACGCUUACAUGAAAUAAAUCCCCAAAAUUAACACACCAUACACACCAUAACUGGUAGAAUAAAAUUAACACGCUUACAUGAAAUAAAUCCCCAAAACUAACACACCAUAACUGGUAGAUGGUGUACAUUCGCACUCCUACAUCAAGGACAAACAACAUCAAAUCAUAACUUUUGAAAUAAAAACAUGAAAUUCCUAAUUUUUAAUUGAAACAUAGGAAAUGAAAUUGCAGACCAAUCAAAAGAAACUCGUCAAAAUAAUUCGAUGCCCUCAGAAUCUAAAUAUGCUGACAUGGUAACUGAUACCAACAAAGCCAGUCCCACGCCAUCAACACCACCAAGAACUUUAAAUUGCUCGAGAUAAUAAUAAUAAUAAUAACAAUAAUCAGAGUAGCAGCAGCAGAAGCACAAGCACACAACGAUGAUACUGAUGAGUAAUGAUGAUGAAGAUGAAGCAAAAUCCUGGUUACAUUGAGGGGGGAGGCUACGAUGGAAACCAAAGCUACCAUUCCGCAUAUAUCAGAUUAAACAUCACUGGGCAUAACAAAACAUAUACACACACUAACAAAAUCAAUCCUUAUAAAUCAUAUAAAAUGGGCCAAAUUGUAAAAUUGAUCUCUGAAUAACUCAUCCUGAAAUUGUAACCUAAUCACAAAAGAAAAUUUAUGGGACCGACACAACAAAAUUGCUAUAAAGUGUGGCACAUAGAAAACAAACAAUAUAAUGCAAUAACCAACAAUCAUAAAUAAUAAAAUACUGUAAAACUAAGCCCUCAGAUCUCAUAGCUUAUAAAUCAUAAAUGGCUUAGAAAAUGGACAGAUUCAUCAGAGGUCUCACACGCUGCACCAAGGACAACCUACCAACCUCCGCGUGCUCGUGUGUGUAAGUGUAUGAUUUUGAGUUGGUGGCGGUGGUGGUGGUGAUGGUGCUGGCGGCGGAGGCGGCAGAUUAUCCAGGUAAUGCACGAAGGUCGCUGAUGAAUCCAGAACCAUCAUCACACCAAUUCAAUGUUUAAAAUUUUCCAUCACCGGGCAUUACAACAACAACAAAUCAAAACUAACAGAUGAAAAAUUGCAUAGGUUGGAUAAAUGAAAAGGAAAAGUUAACUUCAAGUUUUGCAAAAUUUAGAUGAACUGUAAACAAGCUGGACAAAAAAACAUACGAAAUUACAACAAAUUGAUGCAAAUAUAUAGGAGGAAAAGUAACUGGUGAGAGGAAUCGUGAAUUCGUGCGCUUAAACGUGCGGCUAGUUAAAUUAG
rnacentral:lncRNA from 1 species